rnacentral:rRNA from 1 species
GGCGAGUGAGCGGCAAAAGCUCAAAUUUGAAAUCUGGUACCUUUGGUGCCCGAGUUGUAAUUUGAAGAUAGUUUUCUGGUGCUGGCCCUUGUCUAUGUUCCUUGGAACAGGACGUCACAGAGGGUGAGAAUCCCGUCUGGCGGGGUGUCCAGUGCUUUGUAGAUUUCUAUCGACGAGUCGAGUUGUUUGGGAAUGCAGCUCUAAGUGGGUGGUAAAUUCCAUCUAAAGCUAAAUAUUGGCGAGAGACCGAUAGCGAACAAGUACAGUGAUGGAAAGAUGAAAAGAACUUUGAAAAGAGAGUGAAAAAGUACGUGAAAUUGUUGAAAGGGAAGGGUAUUAGAUCAGACUUGGUGUUUUGUGAUUAUCUUCCCUUCUUGGGUUGUGCACUCGCAUUUCACUGGGCCAGCAUCGGUUCGGGUGGUAAGAUAAUGACAUUGGAACGUGGCACUACCUUCGGGUGGUGUGUUAUAGCCCUUGUUGAUGUUGCCUACCUGGACCGAGGACUGCGGCUUUUGCCUAGGAUGCUGGCGUAAUGAUCUAACACCGCCCGU